GAUGAACGCUGGCGGCGUGCCUAAUACAUGCAAGUCGAGCGAACAGACGAGGAGCUUUCUCCUCUGACGUUAGCGGCGGACGGGUGAGUAACACGUGGAUAACCUACCUCUAAGACUGGGGUAACUUCGGGAAACCGGAGCCAAUACCGGCUAAUAUAUUCAACCGCAUGGUUCAAUAGUGAAAGACGGUUUUGCUGUCACUUAUAGAUGGAUCCGCGCCGCAUUAGCUAGUUGGUAAGGUAACGGCUUACCAAGGCAACGAUGCGUAGCCGACCUGAGAGGGUGAUCGGCCACACUGGAACUGAGACACGGUCCAGACUCCUACGGGAGGCAGCAGUAGGGAAUCUUCCGCAAUGGGCGAAAGCCUGACGGAGCAACGCCGCGUGAGUGAUGAAGGUCUUCGGAUCGUAAAACUCUGUUAUUAGGGAAGAACAAAUGUGUAAGUAACUAUGCACGUCUUGACGGUACCUAAUCAGAAAGCCACGGCUAACUACGUG
rnacentral:rRNA from 1 species